AGAAAGAUGACUGAUGACUAGGAGAGUAUAAUGGAAGCAGAUAAAAUGAUGAGAGUUUGGAAUAUGAUAUUAACAAUGGAAAGAGAAGCAGACAGGUGUGAAGGGUGCUGUUGUGGAUUUGUGUUGUACCUAUUAGCUACCUUGGAUUUACCUCAGGAUCUUCUUCCCUAAAUAUUUUCAGACCAAUCCUGGAUACAGGACACAUUGUACAAAAAAUUUGGAAGCAUAUGUGAAGUGACAGCUUGGAAAAUCAGUGCAAUAGGUGCAGAGGCAUCAAUUGUUAAUAACAUGCCCUCUGUUGCUGAUUUGCUAACUCACUCCUUGGAAUGAAUUCACAGCUGAGCAUAUGAAUUCACAGCUGAGCAUACAGUUUCUCCAGUUUCUGACAGCUCUUCUCCUUCAGCUUCUCUGGAUGUUGGGGACAGGCACAGCAGUAGGCACAAAAGCAGUAGGCAUACAUAAGGGCAAAUUCCUAUAAUA
rnacentral:lncRNA from 1 species